rfam:Picea glauca, whole genome shotgun sequence.
GGGUGUAUAGUUCAGUUGGUGGAGCAUCGAGCUUUUAACCUAAUGGUCACAGGUUGAAGUCCUGCUAUACCCA